ACACAGAGUAAAUACAUAUACAGAGCUGUAACUGACCGUUGUAAACACUGCGGAUGCUUACGUUUUCAUGUACCCACUUUUUUCAGGCGACCGGGCAGAAAAUGAUCAACUGCGCGUGCUCGGCAAGUUCCGCGAGCACGUUAAAGCGAGUCGUCAUCCAAUCAGAUGUAUGCAUCUAGUAACUUGCCGAGCAUGCGCACAAAAAAAGUGGGUACACUAG